rnacentral:lncRNA from 1 species
ACCGUGUCAACGGAACACGCGCUUUAAUCAUCAACUGUCUGUCACUAGCAGGCUGACUCGAGAUAACCUUGAGCACCUGCCCAUGUUUUUCUCUGACUCUUAGUGCUGUCUCGCGCUCAGCAUCAGCCACAACCCGCGCGAGAAGCAAUAGGUCCGUAGGCGCCAGAAAUCCUAGGCACGAGACACCUAGCGCUCUAGACUCUAGCUGAAACGCGGGAAGGGUCCUGGUGUCAGGCAAAGGUGAGCCCGGAGGUGAACAACUCCAACUGACAAAAAACAGCAUAUUAACCGGAGAAUAAACAAUACGAGGAUGACCGCUGUGGCGGAGGGCUGCGGCGUGAAGAUGAUGAAGAUGAUGAUGUCUACAGUAAAUAUGCCCGUCAUGGAGAUGUGUUGGUGGGUGCUCAGCCUGUCCAGUCCGUCCACCCACGGUGAAGGAGAAGUGAAAUUCAGCAACAGAAAACAUCUAACCACCAAAGGUCAAGGUUACCCAGCAGCCUUGAAACAGGUUGCUUUGCUGUUGAAUAAUUGAGGAUGAAUACAACAUUCAACAAUGGCCCACGGAACCUCUGAUGACUGUAUGCUUCAAAGGGACAUGACAUAAACAUACCAUUGUCUUAUACUAUAGGUGUAUUGACAUGUAAUAGUCAUUUAAUCAUUCUUACUUUUACUAUUUUUCUCUUUCCUCUCCUCCAUAUACAGACCCUGUUGGGGUGCAUACAUACUGUAGCUACAGUGCAGACCACAUUCUCUCUCACACAGACACUCCUCCCUGCUUUGAUCAGGUCAGAUUUCACUCAGCGCUGAUAGAUGAAUCUCCCACACACACAGAUUCCCCCCUUCUCUCACUCUCUCUGCUAUACAGGGUGAAUGAUUGUGACCUUACGUUCCCCUUAGGCAUUGUCAUUGUGCCAUACCAUGAAGGAUGGACAUGAGAGCACAAACCAAUGAUCUUUUUCACAUCCAGCAGUAAGCCUGAAGAGUCUGAAUAAUUCAAUUUGUAUCAAACCAAAGCUCUAUUUGUCAUAGUUGGGCUUGCCGGGGGCACUCUUCGAGUGCAUCCCAAAUGGCACCCUAUUCCCUAUUCCCAAGGAGGAAUGGGAAAAAUGUCAGUCUCUCGAUGUGCAAAACUGAUAGAGACAUACCCCAAGCGACUUACAGCUGUAAUCGCAGCAAAAGGUGGCGCUACAAAG